rnacentral:rRNA from 1 species
GUCGAGAAUUUUUCACAAUGGGCGAAAGCCUGAUGGAGCGACGCCGCGUGGGGGAUGAAGGGCUUCGGCUCGUAAACCCCUGUCAUUUGCGAACAAUGGCGCCAACCUAACACGUUGUCGCCUGAUAGUAGCAGAAGAGGAAGGGACGGCUAACUCUGUGCCAGCAGCCGCGGUAAUACAGAGGUCCCAAGCGUUGUUCGGAUUCACUGGGCGUAAAGGGUGCGUAGGUGGUGGACUAAGUCGGGUGUGAAAUCUCCGGGCUCAACCCGGAGGGUGCGCCCGAUACUGGUCCGCUGGAGGAUGGGAGGGGAGACUGGAAUUCUCGGUGUAGCAGUGAAAUGCGUAGAUAUCGAGAGGAACACCGGUGGCGAAGGCGAGUCUCUGGACCAUUCCUGACACUGAGGCACGAAAGCCGGGGGAGCAAACAGGAUUAGAAACCCGAGUAGUCC